rnacentral:lncRNA from 1 species
UGCUAUUAAAUCUUCAAUCAUGUCCCAUCCUCAGUUUUCUAAUCAUUAUAUGUAUCGGAUGAGCUGGUGAUAGUUGUAUUUCCUGGCACCUGGGACCACUGCACACUGAAAAAGCAUUUGUAAUGGGAGAAUGGGCUCCGCUUGCCUUGAGGCUGCUCUCAGCAGGGAGGUUCACAUGUCAGGGGCCCAGUUGGGGAGAUGGCAGAAGCCAAUGAGCACAUGAUGAGUUACUUCUCCAGUGUUAUCCUGAAACCUUCAGUAUAGUUACUCAUUUCAUGAUAUUCUGACUGUGAUUGGAUUCCCCGAGGGAACUGGAGAAAGUCUGAAAAUUCUGUACAGCUGAUAGAUGACAAAGCAGAGACAGUUUUGAAGAUGGAAGGUUGGAAAUGUGGAUUAAGCAUGGAGAGGGCUUUUGACUUGGAAAUGGGUUGCAGACAAAGAUACUGCCAGUGUGGUCAGAUUGGAGGUUUUGCUUCGUUGAUUAAAAGCCCUGAACUUAAAAAGCCACUCACUCAAAGUUACUUGCUCAUGGUGAGCUUUGCCUCCUAGCUGAAUAGCACCUGCCUAUGCAAAAUUGUGCAGUAAACCAAGUUAAAGACUUUGGAUUUUCUUACUCUCUUUGGCCUCCUUUCCCUGUGCCCAGACCUUUCCCACACUUCCCACUUCCCUAGUCCUCAUUCUUGCAUCCUCUGGCUCGUGCCUGGCUUCCCAAAAUGUCACACCUGUACUGCUGUUGGGUCUGCUACUGGCUGGGUCCCAGUAAUCCUAGGACCUUGUUUUUCAUUAGAUAAGAGUAUCUGAUGACCCACCAUUUCCCAAUCUAUCCUGGGAUUUUAAUGGAUGUAAUGGAGUAUUCUAGAUUUAACUUGGUGGUGGUGGUAGGGGUCAUGUUCCUUGGCAAAAUGUUUAUGAAAUCCUGCACAGUAUCCCUAUAGCAAUGUUCAUUUGCAUAUUAAAAGCUUGAAUAAAUCUUUCAGAAAUAAACUUUUGAAACGAAUUCAGUAUAAAACAUAUUAUUAUUAUAGAAUGCAAACUAGGGUAUACACUUUUAUCCUUUCCAGAUAAUGUAUUUAUUUAAAAAUGAGUCUACUAAAAAUGCCUUGACCUUGAAUAGUGACCCCAAUUAAAGACACUUCAGGUGCUUCAGUGGGUAUUGGCAGGUGGUAUUUGGCAGAGG